AUUGAACGCUGGCGGCAUGCUUUACACAUGCAAGUCGAACGGCAGCGCGGGCUUCGGCCUGGCGGCGAGUGGCGAACGGGUGAGUAAUACAUCGGAACGUGCCCAGUAGUGGGGGAUAGCUCGGCGAAAGCCGGAUUAAUACCGCAUACGACCUGAGGGUGAAAGCGGGGGAUCUUCGGACCUCGCGCUAUUGGAGCGGCCGAUGGCAGAUUAGCUAGUUGGUGGGGUAAAGGCCUACCAAGGCGACGAUCUGUAGCUGGUCUGAGAGGACGACCAGCCACACUGGGACUGAGACACGGCCCAGAGUCCUACGGGAGGCAGCAGUGGGGAAUUUUGGACAAUGGGCGAAAGCCUGAUCCAGCAAUGCAGCGUGUGUGAUGAAGGCCUUCGGGUUGUAAAGCACUUUUGGCGGGAACGAAAAGGACUGUGCCAAUACCACGGUUCGAUGACGGUACCCGCAGAAUAAGCACCGGCUAACUACGUG
rnacentral:rRNA from 1 species